AACCAACCUCAUAUGGAAGGAGAUUCAUUAGUUCCCAGAUCUCUAGUCCAACUGCAGGAUUUGCUGGUAUCAACUGUAAGGAAGGAAGCAAGCAUCCUCCUAAUGCUUCUUCAAUUCUUGACCUGGCAUCCCUCAGGUGUAUACGAGGAGUUUGAUCUCCAAUUGUAACAGUUUCGGAGAUAAAAUCUGCCACACUGCUAGUGAAGCAUCCUUCAGGUGUAUACGGGGAGUUUGAUCUCCAAUUGUAACAGUUUGGGAGAUAAAACCUGCCGCACCACUAGCGACAAGCUGAUGUGCACAAAUGUAAUAAGCUCUUAACACUCUGCAUACCU
rnacentral:lncRNA from 1 species